rnacentral:rRNA from 1 species
GACGAACGCUGGCGGCGUGCUUAACACAUGCAAGUCGAACGGAAAGGCCCUGCUUUUGUGGGGUGCUCGAGUGGCGAACGGGUGAGUAACACGUGAGUAACCUGCCCUUGACUUUGGGUUAACUUCAGGAAACUGGGGCUAAUACCGGAUAGGAGCUCCUGCUGCAUGGUGGGGGUUGGAAAGUUUCGGCGGUUGGGGAUGGACUCGCGGCUUAUCAGCUUGUUGGUGGGGUAGUGGCUUACCAAGGCUUUGACGGGUAGCCGGCCUGAGAGGGUGACCGGCCACAUUGGGACUGAGAUACGGCCCAGACGACUACGGGAGGCAGCAGAGGGGAAUAUUGCACAAUGGGCGGAAGCCUGAUGCAGCAACGCCGCGUGCGGGAUGACGGCCUGCGGGUUGUAAACCGCUUUCGCCUGUGACGAAGCGUGAGUGACGGUAAUGGGUAAAGAAGCACCGGCUAACUACGUG